rnacentral:rRNA from 1 species
GAUGAACGCUGGCGGCGUGCCUAAUACAUGCAAGUCGAGCGAACGGACGAGAAGCUUGCUUUUCUGAUGUUAGCGGCGGACGGGUGAGUAACACGUGGAUAACCUACCUAUAAGACUGGGAUAACUUCGGGAAACCGGAGCUAAUACCGGAUAAUAUUUUGAACCGCAUGGUUCAAAAGUGAAAGACGGUCCUGCUGUCACUUAUAGAUGGAUCCGCGCUGCAUUAGCUAGUUGGUAAGGUAACGGCUUACCAAGGCAACGAUGCAUAGCCGACCUGAGAGGGUGAUCGGCCACACUGGGACUGAGACACGGUCCAGACUCCUACGGGAGGCAGCAGUAGGGAAUCUUCCGCAAUGGGCGAAAGCCUGACGGAGCAACGCCGCGUGAGUGAUGAAGGUCUUCGGAUCGUAAAACUCUGUUAUUAGGGAAGAACACAUGUGUAAGUAACUGUGCACAUCUUGACGGUACCUAAUCAGAAAGCCACGGCUAACUACGUG